ensembl:lncRNA
UUAGUCUUCAUAGUUUACGUUACAGCUAUAGCAUUCCACUGGCAGUCAUUUAUCUAAUGACUUACAUCUUUCAGGCUGCGGAAAAUGCAGGAUAAGAGAGAGAGAGAGAGAAAGUGAUUGUUGGGGGGAGUUCUUUUUAAUUUGCAUUUCAGGGCUGUACCUAGAAUCAUAAAUAUACAGAAGUUAGCACCUACCUAUCAUCCCUCAGCUAUCUUAUUUCCAGAGCAUUACGAUACGAAAACAAUGGGAUUAGGGCACUAUAUGCUUCAAUCCCUAUCACCCCCGAUCCCCAAACUUAAUCUUAGAAAAUGCCUGUCUGUGCUAGAGAAAUGGAUUGCACGUAACAUGACAACCGUCUUUUAUAGAGGCAAACCAGACUCACUGGGCUCUAAUGCUGUAAAGGAAAAAGCUUAACAGGGCAUCAGCGGCCUACUAGCUGAGAGCAAGAAGCAAUCUACUGUGUCCCUGCAUGACGUGACUCCGCUGAAUGAAUUAAGAGGUCGCGGUGACUUUUGGAGCAAUGGUCAACUGCUGGAGUUGGAGGAGGAUUGGGUUUCUGUGGGAAAACGUGCAGUUAUUUGCAGAAACGAGCAAGAGGGAGCAGCACAGGAUCUGCCACGAGGAUCUCCCAGGCUGCUGGUCUGCGUGAGGAGGAGAGGAAGGCCUGCACACACGAGGAAGGCUGUGAAGGAGAAAGACUGGGAUGCCCAACAAAGGAAAUUUCAGCUGCCAAGCGUCCCAUCAGGCACGCUAGAACUUGUGAUGAUUUGGGGCUCAAUAACACCUACAGAACAGGUACGUUCAUUACAAAGACCAAGUUGAGAUGUUCCCUAAACCCCCGCCAAAUGCAAAUCUGCUCAGGUAACAGAGCAGAUUGAUGUUCAGCUAGAUGUUUCCAAAGUAUGAUUUUUCCUUGAAGCCUUGGUGAGUAAUGGGUAUAAAUUACCAGUAGCCUAAUUUUUAUCUAUUUAUUUUUUGAUUGAUUUAUUGAUUUCCUCAUAGUAUAUUAUAGAUAAUUUUAUUUAUUUUAUUUUCAACUUUUUAUAGGUUUAGAAGUUGCCAACUUAUCACUUGCAGCUAUACAAGACUCAGGCAAGUUAGACCUAGGGAAGCACAAAAUCAUUUGAUGCUUGUCUUAUAUCUAGGCUCUAAAGGCUUUUGUCCAGGCACUGCCUUUGUUUGCUUUUUUUUGUUUUUAUGCAGCUAGGUAACAUAGCUGGGCCCAGCUCCAUAUCAGUUGUCUUGGGCAUGGCUGCACUGCGACCAGAAAAUCAUUACCACCAGACAAUCAGCUCUCAGUGCAUGCAAGUUUCUGCCGCCUGUUUGAAAGCGAGUUGAAGUGCUUGUGGAGGUUUAAUCGAAAUCUAAAUACAUGUGACUGAAAUUGGCUCUCUGUGAUUAUUUAUACAAGUAAAUCUCUGCUUCUCAGAAGCUCCCAGAAAUCAAAUGCCAGCCUUGUAUGAUUUUUUUUUUUUCCAAAGGAGUAAAUAUUUGGUGAAAAUACUUUGCUGUAUUAAUUUUGCUCUGCCUUCUCUCAGGCAGGCCUGAUAGGGAUGGAGAGACUCCUGGUGUGCAUCAAUCAGCCCACAGUGAAGAGGGACCAAGCUAGCUGAUUACUUGGUCCAUAAUGAGUUAUCCUCAGAAUGAAACCCAAACAUUUCAGGUAGCCUAGAAAAGAUCUUAAAAUAGCUCAUUUUUCCUUAUACAUCUACAUAUCCAGCUAAAAUCUUCCAGGAAAUGUUCCUCAUUUCAACACUAGGUACGUCAGGUGUAUUUUAAGCAGGAGGUAGUUUAAGCAGAGUAACACAUAUUUCCAUGUUUUCCUAACCCCCACCUGAAAGCACAUCUGCCAGUAGGUGGUUUAUAACUUGACAGUCAGCCACUGCUAAUUUCUUAAUGCUAUAUAAUGUUCUCAUUCCCUGAUGGUGACCUUUUUUUUUUUUCUUUUACUUUUUUUUUUUUUUGGGUAUGUGGUAACCCUUUUACCUUCUUUUUCCCUACUCAGGCCCAUUAGCAGGAUGUUGUGCAAUAUGGUGCUUGUCAUCUGUUUCAAAGACACAGUGAUGAGAUACAGGUAUGCCAGAUGGAUAAACCUAGUGUGACUAAUUAUUGUGUAUUUGCCUUUAAUUAUUAUCAUUUAUUACCAGAGAAAAGACAAUAGAGGUUCCCAGACUCAGAAAGGAAUGUCGGCAGAAGGGGAUUUUUUUUUUUUUUCAUGAGACUGGUACAUCAGCAAGAAAAGUUUUCUUUCUGGGGAGAAAUAUAAGCAAAUGUCAAGAAAAGAGGAGUCAGUGUGACCCGUGCAAUGCUCUCCUUUCCUUGACAUGCUUGAGAAUCAGAUAUCUCACAGGUAAUACAUAGUUUCUUUGUAACUGUAGAACAGCUUUUCCCUUAUUGAAUGUGCAUGCAGGACAUAAUGAAUGUAUGGGGAUCCUUUAGUGAUUUGCAGGGAUAUCUACCCUGGGAUGCAGUACACUGCCUUUGGUCCUCUUUCUGGUCAUGUCCUGGGAGGUGAGGACAGCCUGAGCUCUGCCCUUUUGGCACUGAAAGACGGGGGGGUGAGCUGGUCUGGGUACAAAUGGGCAUCCAGGUGAAUGGGAGAUGGGGCUUUCCAUUGCUCUGUAAGCCAGAUGGACCUCAACUGCUUCAUGGUGAAGUUAAACCCACAAGUCCCGAAGCUGCAAUUUUUGUAUAAAAUAUAGGCUCAGGGUAGAAAAUAUCUUCAAAAGGUUUCUGUACCAUCAGGCUGAGCCCUCAGACCUUUGGAUGGAAUUUGCCUCCCUGUCCAAACCUGAUAUACAGGGUCUCUACAGUGUUUGUUGUAGACGUAGACUUUCCACUUUUAGGUAUUACAGCCUUAUUACCAAUAAGAUCCUCUCAAAAACAAAACAAAACAAAACAACAGCAACAAAAAACACGUAUAAGACAAAUAUUUUAAAAUAAAGGGGAUAUCUCCAUUGCA